AACGAACGCUGGCGGCGCGUUUUAAGCAUGCAAGUCGGACGGUAGAGGGAAGCGAUUCUCUUGAGAGUGGCGAACGGGUGAGUAAGACGUAGGUGAUCUGACCUGGGGAUGGGGAUAGCCUGUGGAAACACGGGGUAAUACCGGAUACGCUCAUAGGGGUAAGGCUUUAUGAGGAAAGGCGCGGGUGCGUCGACCUGGGGGGAGCCUGCGGUCCAUUAGUUAGUUGGUGGGGUAAGAGCCUACCAAGGCGACGAUGGAUAGCCGGCCUGAGAGGGUGAACGGCCACACUGGGACUGAGAUACGGCCCAGACUCCUACGGGAGGCAGCAGCUAAGAAUCUUCCGCAAUGGGCGAAAGCCUGACGGAGCGACGCCGCGUGGACGAUGAAGGCCGAAAGGUUGUAAAGUCCUUUUCUCUGUGAAGAAUAAGGGGGGAGGAAAUGCCCCUAUGAUGACGUUAGCAGAGGAAUAAGCCCCGGCUAAUUACGUG
rnacentral:rRNA from 1 species